AGAGAUAGAAAGUUACUUCGGUUACAUCGGUGACAGGUGGUGCAUGGUUGUCGUCAGCUCGUGUCGUGAGAUGUUGGGUUAAGUCCCGCAACGAGCGCAACCCCUAUUGUUAGUUGCCAUCAUUCAGUUGGGCACUCUAGCGAGACUGCCGGUAAUAAACCGGAGGAAGGUGGGGAUGACGUCAAAUCAUCAUGCCCCUUAUGACCUGGGCUACACACGUGCUACAAUGGUCGGUACAAAGGGUUGCCAAGCCGCGAGGUGGAGCUAAUCCCAUAAACCGAUCGUAGUCCGGAUCGCAGUCUGCAACUCGACUGCGUGAAGUCGGAAUCGCUAGUAAUCGUGAAUCAGAAUGUCACGGUGAAUACGUUCCCGGGCCUU
rnacentral:rRNA from 1 species